UGGGGAAUUUUGGACAAUGGGCGAAAGCCUGAUCCAGCAAUGCCGCGUGUGUGAAGAAGGCCUUCGGGUUGUAAAGCACUUUUGUCCGGAAAGAAAUCCUUGGCUCUAAUACAGUCGGGGGAUGACGGUACCGGAAGAAUAAGCACCGGCUAACUACGUGCCAGCAGCCGCGGUAAUACGUAGGGUGCAAGCGUUAAUCGGAAUUACUGGGCGUAAAGCGUGCGCAGGCGGUUUGCUAAGACCGAUGUGAAAUCCCCGGGCUCAACCUGGGAACUGCAUUGGUGACUGGCAGGCUAGAGUAUGGCAGAGGGGGGUAGAAUUCCACGUGUAGCAGUGAAAUGCGUAGAGAUGUGGAGGAAUACCGAUGGCGAAGGCAGCCCCCUGGGCAAGUACUGACGCUCAUGCACGAAAAGCGUGGGGAGCAAAACAGGAUUAGAUACCCCUGGUAGUCCACGCCCCUAAAANGAUGUCAACUAGUUGUUGGGGGAUUCAUUUCCUUAGUAACGUAGCUAACGCGUGAAGUUGACCGCCUGGGGGAGUACGGUCGCAAGAUUAAAAACUCCAAAGGAAUUGACGGGGGU
rnacentral:rRNA from 1 species